rnacentral:rRNA from 1 species
GUUUGAUCCUGGCUCAGGACGAGCGCUGGCGGCGUGCCUAAUACAUGCAAGUCGAGCGAGCCGAACUAAUUGAUUACCUUCGGGUAUGAAGUUAGGGAAGCGAGCGGCGGAUGGGUGAGUAACACGUGGGUAACCUACCCUAUAGUCUGGGAUACCACUUGGAAACAGGUGCUAAUACCGGAUAAAAGGAGAGAUCACAUGAUUUCUCUUUGAAAGGCGGCGUAAGCUGUCGCUAAAGGAUGGACCCGCGGUGCAUUAGCUAGUUGGUAAGGUAACGGCUUACCAAGGCAACGAUGCAUAGCCGAGUUGAGAGACUGAUCGGCCACAUUGGGACUGAGACACGGCCCAAACUCCUACGGGAGGCAGCAGUAGGGAAUCUUCCACAUGGAACGCCAAGUUCUGAUGGAAGCAACGCCGCGUGGAGGUGAAGAAGUUUUCGGAUCGUAAAGCUCUGUUGUUGGUGAAGAAAGAUAGUGAGAGUAACUGCUCAUUAUUUGCCGGUAAUCAACCAGAAAGUCACGGCUAACUACGUGCCAGCAGCCGCGGUAAUACGUAGGUGGCAAGCGUUGUCCGGGAUUUAUUGGGCGUAAAGCGAGCGCAGGCGGAAAGAUAAGUCAGAUGUGAAAGCCCUCGGCUUAACCGAGGAAUAGCAUCGGAAACUGUCUUUCUUGAGUGCAGAAGAGGAGAGUGGAACUCCAUGUGUAGCGGUGGAAUGCGUAGAUAUAUGGAAGAACACCAGUGGCGAAGGCGGCUCUCUGGUCUGUAACUGACGCUGAGGCUCGAAAGCAUGGGUAGCGAACAGGAUUAGAUACCCUGGUAGUCCAUUCUGUAAACGAUGAGUGCUAAGUGUUUGGGAGGUUUCCGCCCCUCAGUGCUGCAGCUAACGCAUUAAGCACUCCGCCUGGGGAGUACGACCGCAAGGUUAAAACUCAAAGGAAUUGACGGGGGCCCGCACAAGCGGUGGAGCAUGUGGUUUAAUUCGAAGCAACGCGAAGAACCUUACCAGGUCUUGACAUCUAGUGCCAACCUAAGAGAUUAGGCGUUCCCUUUCGGGGACACUAGACAGGUGGUGCAUGGCUGUCGUCAGCUCGUGUCGUGGAGAUGUUGGGUAGUCCCGCACGAGCGCAACCCUUAUUAUUAGUUGCCAGCAUUAAGUUGGGCACUCUAAUGAGAACUUGCCGGUGACAAACCGGAGGAAGGUGGGGAUGACGUCAAGUCAUCAUGCCCCUUAUGACCUGGGCUACACACGUGCUACAAUGGGCAGUACAACGAGGAGCGAACUUGUGAAGGCAAGCGAAUCUCUGAAAGCUGUUCUCAGUUCGGACUGUAGGCUGCAACUCGCCUACACGAAGCUGGAAUCGCUAGUAAUCGCGGAUCAGCACGCCGCGGUGAAU